GACGAACGCUGGCGGCGUGCUUAACACAUGCAAGUCGAACGGAAAGGCCCUGCUUUUGUGGGGUGCUCGAGUGGCGAAAGGGUGAGUAACACGUGAGUAACCUGCCCUUGACUUUGGGAUAACUUCAGGAAACUGGGGCUAAUACCGGAUAGGAGCUCCUGCUGCAUGGUGGGGGUUGGAAAGUUUCGGCGGUUGGGGAUGGACUCGCGGCUUAUCAGCUUGUUGGUGGGGUAGUGGCUUACCAAGGCUUUGACGGGUAGCCGGCCUGAGAGGGUGACCGGCCACAUUGGGACUGAGAUACGGCCCAGACUCCCACGGGAGGCAGCAGUGGGGAAUAUUGCACAAUGGGCGGAAGCCUGAUGCAGCAACGCCGCGUGCGGGAUGACGGCCUUCGGGUUGUAAACCGCUUUCGCCUGUGACGAAGCGUGAGUGACGGUAAUGGGUAAAGAAGCACCGGCUAACUACGUG
rnacentral:rRNA from 1 species